CUUCUUUGCUUUUAUCGAGAUCCUUAUACUGUGAACAUGGAACUGUUUUUAGAAAUGCUUGGACUAGGUAACCUGACACAUAA
rnacentral:lncRNA from 1 species